UUUAAUUGAAGAGUUUGAUCAUGGCUCAGAUUGAACGCUGGCGGCAGGCCUAACACAUGCAAGUCGAGCGGUAACAGGAGAAAGCUUGCUUUCUUGCUGACGAGCGGCGGACGGGUGAGUAAUGUAUGGGGAU
rnacentral:rRNA from 1 species